rnacentral:misc_RNA from 1 species
UACGGAGGGUGCAAGCGUUAAUCGGAAUUACUGGGCGUAAAGCGCGCGCAGGCGGCGAGAUAAGCCGGUUGUGAAAGCCCCGGGCUCAACCUGGGAACGGCAUCUGGAACUGUCAUGCUAGAGUGCAGGUGAGGAAGGUAGAAUUCCCGGUGUAGCGGUGAAAUGCGUAGAGAUCGGAAGGAAUACCAGUGGCGAAGGCGGCCUUCUGGACUGACGUUGACGCUGAGGUGCGAAAGCGUGGGUAGCAAACAGG